rnacentral:rRNA from 1 species
GACGAACGCUGGCGGCGUGCCUAAUACAUGCAAGUCGAGCGAAGUUUUUCUGGUGCUUGCACUAGAAAAACUUAGCGGCGAACGGGUGAGUAACACGUAAAGAACCUGCCUCAUAGACUGGGACAACUAUUGGAAACGAUAGCUAAUACCGGAUAACAGUAUUUCUCGCAUGAGAGAUAUUUAAAAGUUGGUUAUGCUAACACUAUGAGAUGGCUUUGCGGUGCAUUAGCUAGUUGGUGGGGUAAGGGCCCACCAAGGCGACGAUGCAUAGCCGACCUGAGAGGGUGAUCGGCCACACUGGGACUGAGACACGGCCCAGACUCCUACGGGAGGCAGCAGUAGGGAAUCUUCCGCAAUGGGCGAAAGCCUGACGGAGCAACGCCGCGUGAGUGAAGAAGGAUUUCGGUUCGUAAAGCUCUGUUGUUAGGGAAGAAUGGAUAUGUAGUAACUAUACAUGUAAGAGACGGUACCUAACCAGAAAGCCACGGCUAACUACGUG